GACGAACCGUCCAAACGUUAUUCGGAAUCACUGGGCUUAAAGGGCGCGUAGGCGGCCGAGCGGGUCACGGGUGAAAUCCUCCAGCUUAACUGGAGAACUGCCCUUGAUACCACUGCGGCUCGAGGAAGGAAGGGGUCAUGGGAACUGUCGGUGGAACGGUGAAAUGCGUUGAUAUCGACAGGGAACGCCGGUGGCGAAAGCGCAUGACUGGUCCUUUUCUGACGCUGAGGCGCGAAAGCCAGGGGAGCAAACGGG
rnacentral:rRNA from 1 species